CUUGUACUCCCUCUGUCCGAAAAUACUUAUCAUUGAAAUGGAUGUAUCUAAAUGUAUUUUAGUUCUAGACACAUCCAUUUUGAUGACAAGUAAUUCCGGACAGAGGGAGUACUUG
rnacentral:pre_miRNA from 1 species